rnacentral:lncRNA from 1 species
GUUUGAGGAGGAGGCAGCUGAGAUGGGGAAGGUCUCCCUCAUGCGCCUCCAGAGUUUUGGGAAGACCCCUGGGAAUGCGAUAUCACCAUUAACAGCUCCCAGUGGGAGACUGGAGACCUACAAACACUAUGUGAGCCAUACCGAUGGCCUGGGACGUAAAGAAUUAAUAUUCAUAAACUGAUUACAGAUACCGCACUUUUGUUGCAUUUAUAGCUGAUACUUCAAGGAAUAUUGUUCUAAUGUCUAUGAUUGUUGCUGUUAGCAAGUAUGUUCCACAAAGUCACCCUAGAGCCUGGCAAGAUAUGAGGAAAUUGUCAACUGAGUCAAUCACUUCAAGAAAGCUGACUACAAUGCAUACAGGGCCUGACAUGGCUGUUGAGCAUGCAGUGUAUAUCUGAUUUAAGCAUAUGCUGUGUCCCAAAGGCAGAAGAAUUGGCCUUAAAAUAAAGAUACAACUUCUCCCACAUUGGCAUUUCCUUAAGGAUAAGCAUCUUUCCUUAGGCUAGGAACUGACUGCUGUGCGCACCUGUGACCACCCAGCUCACUUGUGACCACCCCGCUCACCUGUGACCACCCAGCUCAAGACAAUAGACCUGCCAGCCUGCUGUGUCCACUGAGACAGCAGACCUACCUGCUGUGUCCAUCAAUCGCUGUGCCGUCAGAGCGGUCUCGUGACCAUUGUAAAAGGAUGCUUUGUGAAACAUCCUCUUUGAGGGUAUACAACCACUCUGUGCACCCCACUUCUUUGGUGCCCUUCCUUCCUUGGGGAAAGAAGGCCUGGGCUAUAUGGUCCUCAUCUGGCUCAGAAUAAACUCACCUCAAUUUUCAUUUAUGUAUUUGUUGUGGAUUAUUUACACCGACAUCACCAACGGCAGUGACUUGCUCCACCGCACCAGUCAUCGCCUGAACCACCCAGGCCAGCUGGCUCUAUAUUCAUGUUUGAUUUUGUAUUCUUCACACCGCUUACAAGUUUACUUGGUUUAAGGGGAAGAUGGCCAUCUUGGCAUGUCAGGAAAGCUGCUGGAAACGGCAAGAGACAGUCUUCCCAGAUCUCCAGCCAACCCAAUCUCAAUCAGAACAGUCUCAGAAAUGUUCAUCUCAAAUGACCAUUCAAGCUUAAUAGUUUAAAACAGAGGAAUGACGACAGCAUCCUGUAAAAAUUAGAGGGGAAAAAUGUUUGUGGAUCAUUUGUUCUGUGGUUAUUGUCAGCUUUUGAAAUCUGUAUCUUUAAAUGGAAAAAACUUAAUAAAAAAUCUGUACCAGGUUGAAAAAAUUAUUUUGAAGAUUUUCAAGCACACAAAAGCAGAGGGAGUCACAUAAGGGACCCCCACAUACUCAUCACCCAGCUUCAAUAAUUAUCAACAUUUUGUCAUUCUUGUUUCAUUUAUUCAUUUCCUUGGUUUUUAUUUUCUAGAUUAUUAUAAAAC